AAAAAACUCUUUAAAAAC
rnacentral:sRNA from 1 species